GUGGGGUAUUCAGCUCCUACUCAACCAGCUAUAAGGGAAGAUCUGCAUCAAUCGCCAGCAGAGUACUCCCUUUUUGGUUCCAUUUUGGCAAUUGGUGCAAUGGUUGGUGCUAUUACAAGUGGAAAAAUUUCUGACUCGAUUGGUCGGAAAUGGGCAAUGAGAUUGUCAGCCGGUUGCUGCAUCGUAGGGUGGCUAGCAAUCUACUUCUCUACGGGAGCUCUGGUUCUUGACAUGGGAAGAUUCUUAACGGGG